CUGAGAGGAUGACCAGUCACACCGGAACUGAGACACGGUCCGGACUCCUACGGGAGGCAGCAGUGGGGAAUAUUGGACAAUGGGCGCAAGCCUGAUCCAGCCAUGCCGCGUGGGUGAAGAAGGCCUUCGGGUUGUAAAGCCCUUUAGGUGGGAGGAAGGCAUUCAUGCUAAUACCAUGGAUGAUUGACGUUACCCACAGAAUAAGCACCGGCUAACUCCGUGCCAGCAGCCGCGGUAAUACGGAGGGUGCAAGCGUUAAUCGGAAUUACUGGCGUAAAGCGCACGUAGGCGGUUUGACAAGUGGGAUGUGAAAGCCCUGGGCUCAACCUGGGAACUGCAUCCCAAACUGUCAGGCUAGAGUAUGGUAGAGGGGGGGCGGAAUUCCCGGUGUAGCGGUGAAAUGCGUAGAGAUCGGGAGGAACAUCAGUGGC
rnacentral:rRNA from 1 species